rnacentral:piRNA from 1 species
UUUAGGAAUAUGAGGGUGAUG